GCUGGUGCACCGAACUGCUUCCCUCACUUUCGAUCAAUCGUUGCUCCACGUGCUAACGUUGGUUGCAAAAACGAUCGGGUUCCUGUGUUGUGUACCUAUAUAAUGGAAAUCGGUUCCUCUCGUUGUCCCUUUCAUCCCCGCAUCCUCUUGGAUGCUCGGUUGUACUAGAUAGAAGGGCUCGUGUUCCAUGGACAUCCAACGUGAUCGUUCUGAUGGUGCUCGAGUGCCCUUCUUGUCCCUUCGGAUGCGGAAAUUGCCUCAUGGGCGUKGGGUCAUCGGCCCUUGUGUUCCCGAAUAUGUUGAAGCGUUUUGUCGCUUCAUAUCGGAAUGACGCUCUCGCCUUGUCCUUGAUCACGUGGAGCUCUCGGGCUACUACCACACAGGAUCAUGCUCGGCAGACGUCGUGAAGGAAUGC
rnacentral:misc_RNA from 1 species